AAUAUUGCGUAAUGGAGGGAACACUGACGCAGCGACGCCGCGUGUGCGAUGAAGGUCUUCGGAUCGUAUAGCUCUGUCCUUGGGGCAGAAGAUCUUAGGAUUUGACGGUACCCCAGGUGGAUUCCCCGGCUUACUACGCGCCACCAGCCGCGGUAAUACGCAGGGGGCAAGCGUUGUCCGGAAUUAUGGGGCGUAAAGGGUGCGUAGGCGGCCUUUUAAGUCAGAUGAGAAAGACCAAGGCUUAACCGGGGGGUUGCAUUGGAAACUGGAGGGCUUGAGUAUCGGAGAGGGUAGUGGAAUUCCCAGUGUAGCGGUGGAAUGCGUAGAUAUUGGGAGGAACACCAGUGGCGAAGGCGACUACCUGGACGAAAACUGACGCUGAUGCACGAAAGCUAGGGGAGCAAAC
rnacentral:rRNA from 1 species